AUCCCCGUAGCUUAGUGGUCAGCGUUUGUGUGUGCCUUUCUUUCCAGCGUUUGAUUUUCCUCAGCGAAUACAGUUAAGGCAGCGAAAAACGUCGGUUCAAACCCGACCGGGGACA